rnacentral:rRNA from 1 species
CUAGUUGGUGAGGUGACGGCCCACCAAGGCGACGAUCGGUAGCCGACCUGAGAGGGUGAUCGGCCACAUUGGAACUGAGAGACGGCCCAGACUCCUACGGGAGGCAGCAGUGGGGAAUAUUGCACAAUGGGGGAAACCCUGAUGCAGCGACGCCGCGUGGAGGAAGAAGGUCUUCGGAUUGUAAACUCCUGUUGUUGAGGAAGAUAAUGACGGUACUCAACAAGGAAGUGACGGCUAACUACGUGCCAGCAGCCGCGGUAAAACGUAGGUCACAAGCGUUGUCCGGAAUUACUGGGUGUAAAGGGAGCGCAGGCGGGAAGACAAGUUGGAAGUGAAAUCUAUGGGCUCAACCCAUAAACUGCUUUCAAAACUGUUUCUCUUGAGUAGUGCAGAGGUAGGCGGAAUUCCCGGUGUAGCGGUGGAAUGCGUAGAUAUCGGGAGGAACACCAGUGGCGAAGGCGGCCUACUGGGCACCAACUGACGCUGAGGCUCGAAAGUGUGGGUAGCAAACAGGAUUAGAUACCCUGGUAGUCCACACCGUAAACGAUGAUUACUAGGUGUUGGAGGAUUGACCCCUUCAGUGCCGCAGUUAACACAAUAAGUAAUCCACCUGGGGAGUACGACCGCAAGGUUGAAACUCAAAGGAAUUGACGGGGGCCCGCACAAGCAGUGGAGUAUGUGGUUUAAUUCGACGCAACGCGAAGAACCUUACCAAGUCCUGACAUCCUGCGACGCACAUAGAAAUAUGUGUUUCCUUCGGGACGCAGAGACAGGUGGUGCAUGGUUGUCGUCAGCUCGUGUCGUGAGAUGUUGGGUUAAGUCCCGCAACGAGCGCAACCCUUACUGUCAGUUACUACGCAAGAGGACUCUGGCAGGACUGCCGUUGACAAAACGGAGGAAGGUGGGGAUGACGUCAAAUCAUCAUGCCCUUUAUGACUUGGGCUACACACGUACUACAAUGGCGUUAAACAAAGAGAAGCAAGACCGCGAGGUGGAGCAAAACUCAGAAACAACGUCCCAGUUCGGACUGCAGGCUGCAACUCGCCUGCACGAAGUCGGAAUUGCUAGUAAUCGUGGAUCAGCAUGCCACGGUGAAUACGUUCCCGGGCCUUGUACACACCGCCCGUCACACCAUGAGAGCCGGGGGGACCCGAAGUCGGUAGUCUAACCGCAAGGAGGACGCCGCCGAAGGUAAAACUGGUGAUUGGGGUGAAGUCGUAACAAGGUAGCCGUAGGAGAACCUGCGGCUG